rnacentral:miRNA from 1 species
UUCUUAGUGUGAGUAUAUUCCAUGCAAAACUUGGGACAUACUUACACUAAAA